AUACUUACCUGGCAGGGGAAACACCAUGAUCAGGAAGGUGGUUUUCCCAGGGCGAGGUUCACCCAUUGCACUGCGGGUGUGCUGACCUCUGCGAUUUCCCCAAAUGCGGGAAACUCGACUGCGUAAUUUGUGGUAGUGGGGGACUGCGUUCGCGCUCUCCCCUG
ensembl:snRNA U1 U1 spliceosomal RNA